AGAGUAGCGCACUGGUGAGUAACACGUGGGAACAUACCUUGAAGUGGGGGACAACAGUUGGAAACGACUGCUAAUACCGCAUAAUCCCUGAGGGGGAAAGAUUUAUCGCUUUAAGAUUGGCCCGCGGAAGAUUAGGUAGUUGGUGGGGUAAAGGCCUACCAAGCCGACGAUCUAUAGCUGGUCUGAGAGGACGAACAGCCACAUUGGAACUGAGACACGGUCCAGACUCCUACGGGAGGCAGCAGUGAGGAAUAUUGGGCAAUGGAGGAAACUCUGACCCAGCCAUGCCGCGUGAGUGAAGAAGGUUUUCGAAUUGUAAAGCUCUUUCGGAUGGGACGAUGAUGACGGUACCAUCUAAAGAAGCCCCGGCAAACUUCGUGCCAGCAGCCGCGGUAAUACGAAGGGGGCAAGCGUUGUUCGGAAUUACUGGGCGUAAAGGGUGUGUAGGCGGAUUUGUAAGAUAGUGGUGAAAUACCUGAGCUCAACUUAGGAAUUGCCAUUAUAACUAUAGAUCUGGAGUGACAGAGAGGAUAUUGGAAUACCCAGUGUAGAGGUGAAAUUCGUAGAUAUUGGGUAGAACACCAGUGGCGAAGGCGAGUAUCUGGCUGUCAACUGACGCUGAGG
rnacentral:rRNA from 1 species